rnacentral:lncRNA from 1 species
AAACUUCUUCCUACUCACCUGUUAGGGUCGACCGUCACCUCCUCUGUGAAUCCCACCACCGCUCUCCUCACUACGCCCAGAGGCAGUCCCUUCCCUCUUUGGACUCCCACGGCCCUUCUUCAUAGCUCUGUCUGGACAUUGACUCCUUUUGCCGCCGAGAGACUGAUAAACAUGACAGUGGGGAUUUGAUCUCAUUCAUUUUCACUUUCAUUUUGCAGGCCUUGCAGGACUUCUCCAGCUCACGGUGGCACAUGUUUGAUGGGUGGAUGAAUUGUUCACUAGACCUCAUGGACUUGGAAUCCAUUCCCCACCUCUCCUCUGGUUGUGUCGCCCACAAGAGCGGUCCCAGCCAUUCUGGCUCCCUUCACCCGGCUUUCUGAGUGAACACAAACAAUGGAGCUUACCCAAGAAGAAUGUUGAAAGUUGCCCUUGGUUGUUUCACCCAAGUUCAUCCGGCUGUUGAGAAGUGGCAGAGGAAAUAUGUCAGCCAGUGGUGUUGACAAAUGUUGGUUUACGGAGAGUUCGGCCAAGUUCAGAGGAUAUUUGACACGCAUGGCUCGCCACCCGCUUCUCAGGACCGGGAAAAAGGAACCACAAAUAUCUCAUCAUGUCCCUAUGCCUUGGUCUCCUCAUCUGUAAAAGAGAGUGACAAAGAACUAGCUCACCAUGUUUGAGGAUGCAGCAAGCUGGUAGAUUGGCCUUUGGGUUUCCGUGUUUCAGGACUCUUUGGGCCACAGGAUUGAAAGCAGGAGUUCUUCAAGAUCGUUCUCUCUCCCUUUCUGGCCUGGCAUUAGAGAAGAUUGUGCUAAUGGAGGAAGGAGGCAGCCGGGGGAGGCUGGGGAGCAGAAGGUGAGAGAAGGGGAGGGGGCAGAAAGCAGGCUGGAGAGGUUCUCUCAGACCUGAACUGUCCAGGUCCUUACUCCCUUCCCUCCCAGGGCCCCAGGGAGGAGGCAGAGCUUCCCUGGACCCAUGGACCCCCAUCUUCUGCAGAGGCCACGGCCCAGGAACAGGUGAGCGGCUGGCCUGUCAGGACCUUGGGCUGUGAGAACAUCAAUACCCAGAGGCCCUUCCAUGACCCCCAGGUGGGUAGUGCCACUGUGCUUCCAGGAUGAGCCUCGCUCACUU